rnacentral:lncRNA from 1 species
AUGAAAGAAUCAGAACAGCUUCCGCCACUCGCCUACUUGACCAUCCUCCUUGCAGCAGAACAAGCUGCUUCCAGGUCAGACAAAAAGGAGCUGGCCGGUAAGACGGACUCAAAGAAACGACCCCCAGUCCGGGAGAAUUUUCCAGAGUCUUCACCAGUGGGUUUCAAAGGUCAGUGUUUAUCCGAAUCACCUGGAGGGCCUGUUACCUGCAGACUGCUGGGCCCCACCCCAGAGAUGCUAAUCCAGCAGGCCUGGGGUGGAGCAGAAGAAUUUGCAUUUCUAACACUUCCCAGGUGCUGCUGAUGCUGCAUUACGCGGAUCUGUACUAAUAGAAGGAUUUUUGGGAAAAAAAAAGAAAAAAUUGUAUUUUUCCACUUAAUUUUAAAUUUGUAUCAGUGCUCUCCAUUUUGUUUUAACAUCUGAUGCUUUCUAUACAAAGUUAUAUCUAAAACUCAUCCCAACACAGAGAUUAAGAAGAUCUGUUCCUGACCUCCCCUGCACACCCCAGUUCCUUUUCCCAGAGCCGGCUGGUCUGUCCUGGCAGCCGAUGACGUCAGAACCGCACAAUCAAAGGCUCUCGACUUGGCUCCUGUUUGUGUGGAGCUAAAGCUCUGAGUCUGUAGGGGUAUCUUUGUUCACAAGGAUGCUUAGGGCCAAAUCUUCCUCAAUCCUCAGUUCCUGGGUGACUUGUUAGGUUACUGGGCACUGAUGUCUCUGAUCUCAUUCACUUCAAAGACCGGCAUCUUUAAGCUUGUCAUUAUCCUCUUCAGGCAUUUUCAUUCAGAAGUCUACUUUUGUAUUGAUCCUGUUGGCCUGGUGGAAACCCUGGUUUGAUGUCCUGACCUCCUUUGUGCUGGCUUUAUAGUCUUAACUGGGUGUCACACAGCGUUCGUCUACAGGCUCAGCUGUGGCCAAUGAGAUACCUCCUUCCACUGAAGAAAGACGGUAAUUGACAAAACAGGGCAGGGUUUAAACAACAUCCAAAGAGGGGCUUCUUUAGUGGACUUACAGGUGAGCUCCUUAAUUCCUUGGUUUUGAUUCCCUGCUACUCCGACAUCUAGCAUUUUCUCUUUUAACUACACGACAUGCGGCUUGAAAGAGAAAAAGAUCUUGUGUGGGCUCACCUACUGAAUCAGUUAUGAAGCGUGACUGCACGGCACGCAGAUGUCUUUUGCCUGGAGAAUCGUGGAUCAGGCAAUGGCUGUACUGCUCCCUGUUCUCAUCCCUGACGCCUGCAGGCAGUGUCUUCAUUGUGCUAGUGCCCCUGAGAAUCUGGACCGCCAGCCAGACUUCCGUGUCCUUAGAACCGGUUGACUCCUUAAAUCUGUGAAUUCUCCCAUGUUCUUGGGGUCCCCCCUGGGAGGGUUAUUUUAUUCUAGGUUUACUCCCUCCCUCCCUCCCUCUCUCCCUCCCUCUCUCUCUUUUCCUUUUCCUUAGUAUUAAGUACAAAUAUUCUUAAAAAUA